rnacentral:rRNA from 1 species
GACGAACGCUGGCGGCGUGCUUAACACAUGCAAGUCGAACGAAGUGGCGAACGGGUGAGAAACGCGUAAUCAACCCGCCCUUCAGAGGGGGACAACAGUUGGAAACGACUGCUAAUACCGCAUACUGAAGGAGGGGAUUGCGUCUGAUUAGUUAGUUGGAGGGGUAACGGCCCACCUAGGCGAGGAUCAGUAGCCGGUCUGAGAGGAUGAACGGCCACAUUGGGACUGAGACACGGCCCAGACUCCUACGGGAGGCAGCAGUGGGGAUUCUUCCGCAAUGGACGAAAGUCUGACGGAGCAACGCCGCGUGAGUGAUGACGGCCUUCGGGUUGUAAAGCUCUGUUAAUCGGUACGCGGUACCGGAAUAGAAAGCCACGGCUAACUACGUGCCAGCAACCGCGGUAAUAC